UACAGAGGUCUCAAGCGUUGUUCGGAUUCAUUGGCGUAAAGGGUGCGUAGGCGGCGCGGUAAGUCGGGUGUGAAAUCUCGGAGCUUAACUCCGAAACUGCAUUCGAUACUGCGGUGCUUGAGGACUGGAGAGGAGACUGGAAUUCAUGGUGUAGCAGUGAAAUGCGUAGAGAUCAUGAGGAAGACCAGUGGCGAAGGCGGGUCUCUGGACAGUUCCUGACAGC
rnacentral:rRNA from 1 species